rnacentral:rRNA from 1 species
UGUCUAAGUAUGAAUGUUUCUAUACUGUGAAACUGCGAAUGGCUCAUUAAAUCAGUUAUAGUUUACUUGAUGGUAACCGUACUCGGAUAACUGUACCAAUUGUAGAGCUAAUACGUGCACCAAGUCCCGACUUCUGGAAGGGAUGUAUUUAUUAGAUACAAAGCCAAUGCGGGCUUCGGCCCGGUACAGUUGGCGAGUCAUGAUAACUGCUCGAAUCGCAUGGCCCCGCGCCGGCGAUGGUUCAUUCAAAUUUCUGCCCUAUCAACUUUCGAUGGUAGGGUAUUGGCCUACCAUGGUUACAACGGGUAACGGAGAAUUAGGGUUCGAUUCCGGAGAGGGAGCCUGAGAAACGGCUACCACAUCCAAGGAAGGCAGCAGGCGCGCAAAUUACCCAAUCCCGACUCGGGGAGGUAGUGACAAUAAAUAACAAUGCUGGGCUUUUUUGGUCUGGCAAUUGGAAUGAGAACAAUCUAAAUCCCUUAACGAGGAACAAUUGGAGGGCAAGUCUGGUGCCAGCAGCCGCGGUAAUUCCAGCUCCAAUAGCGUAUAUUAAAGUUGUUGCAGUUAAAAAGCUCGUAGUUGGGUUUCGGAGCGGUCAGGCUGGUCCGCCGAGAGGCGAGUACUGGCCGGCCACUCUUCCUCUCGGAGUCCCUGUCUGCUCUUUAUUGCAGUGGGCAGGGAAUUCGGGACGUUUACUUUGAAAAAAUUAGAGUGUUCAAAGCAGGCGAUUGCUUGAAUACAUUAGCAUGGAAUAAUGGAAUAGGACCUCGGUCCUAUUUCGUUGGUUUCCAGGACCGAAGUAAUGAUUAAUAGGGACAGUUGGGGGCAUUCGUAUUUAAUUGUCAG